rnacentral:lncRNA from 1 species
UAGGGUCCAGGAGGCAUCCAGAGCCCUGUCAUACAGCUGGUGCGGCCACACCCUAGGGCACUCCCAACCCCAGGAGCCAGGAGAAACUGGGCGGGCCCUUGGGGUGAAGAAUUGUCACCAAGGCUGCUGGGUCCCUCACUCUGUGCAAUCAGACUGAAGAGCGAGGGCGUCCUGGAAGGUGGAGCAGGUGGAGCAGUGUGCAGACACUGUGUCCCUGUGGGCCACAGGUAUGGGCAGACGUCCUGGUCUCUGGGCUGCAGCCACAGUGCUUUCUGCCUCCUUCCCUGCACCGACAGCCUCAGCCUCAGCCUCAGCCUCAGAAGGUCCAGGGGACCUUCCUUCCACCCCUCCUCCACCCCACAGGUCCCCAGCAGCAGCACCUUUCUGUGUGUGGGAGUGACUGACUCGUUCAUGUUGAUUCUUCCCCGAAUGGAAGCUUCUGGAUAGCCGAGGUACACUUGGAGCCCUGAGGACCUCUGAGGCCGUCACCACCCUCAUCCGUUCUGACUGCUUCCUAUUACUGGACUUGUAAUUAUUGUAUUGCUGUGGUAAAGUGUACAUAAUACACAUUUACCUGUUUUUUUGUUUUUAUUACUUAUUUAUUUAUUUUUGAGACAGGGUUCCAGCUCAGGCUGGAGUGCAAUGGCACAAUUUCGGCUCACUGCAGCCUGGGACACCUGGGUUCAAGUGAUCCUCCCACCUCAGCCUCCCAAGAGGCUGGGAAUAUAAGCAGGUGCCACUGCACCCAGCUUAUUAUUUUUUUAUUUUUUGUAGAGAUGAGUUUUCUCCAUGUUGCCCAUGCUGGUCUUGAACCCCUGGGCUCAAGGGAUCCUCCCAGCUCCCAGCACCCAC